UACGUAGGUGGCGAGCGUUGUCCGGAUUUACUGGGCGUAAAGAGCGCGCAGGCGGUUGAUUAAGUCGAAUGUGAAAGCCCCCGGCUCAACUGGGGAGGGUCAUUCGAUACUGAUUGACUUGAAGGCAGGAGAGAGAAGUGGAAUUCCCGGUGUAGUGGUGAAAUGCGUAGAUAUCUGGAGGAAUACCGGUGGCGAAGGCGGCAUCCUGGACCGGCAUUGACGCUGAUGAGCGAAAGCUAGGGGAGCAAACGGG
rnacentral:rRNA from 1 species